AUUGAACGCUGGCGGCAGGCCUAACACAUGCAAGUCGAGCGAGCGGCGGACGGGUGAGUACUGUAUGGGGAUCUGACCGAUAGAGGGAGAUAACUACUGGAAACGGUGGCUCAUAGCGCAUACUAUCGGAUGAACCCAGAUGGGAUUAGAUAGUAGGUGGGGUAACGGCUAACCUAGGGGACGAUCUCUCGCUGGUCUGAGAGGAUGAUCAUCCAAUCUGGGACUGAGACACGCACCAGACUCCUACGGGAGGCAGCAGUGGGGAAUCUUGCACAAUGGGCGCAAGCCUGAUGCAGCCAUGCCGCGUGUAUGAAGAAGGCCUUAGGGUUGUAAAGUACUUUCAGCGGGGAGGCGUUACCCGCAGAAGAAGCACCGGCUAACUCCGUGCCAGCAGCCGCGGUAAUUC
rnacentral:rRNA from 1 species